rnacentral:rRNA from 1 species
AGCGAACGCUGGCGGUAGGCCUAACACAUGCAAGUCGAACGGCAGCACAGGAGAGCUUGCUCUCUGGGUGGCGAGUGGCGGACGGGUGAGGAAUACAUCGGAAUCUACUCUGUCGUGGGGGAUAACGUAGGGAAACUUACGCUAAUACCGCAUACGACCUACGGGUGAAAGCAGGGGAUCUUCGGACCUUGCGCGAUUGAAUGAGCCGAUGUCGGAUUAGCUAGUUGGCGGGGUAAAGGCCCACCAAGGCGACGAUCCGUAGCUGGUCUGAGAGGAUGAUCAGCCACACUGGAUCUGAGACACGGUCCAGACUCCUACGGGAGGCAGCAGUGGGGAAUAUUGGACAAUGGGCGCAAGCCUGAUCCAGCCAUACCGCGUGGGUGAAGAAGGCCUUCGGGUUGUAAAGCCCUUUUGUUGGGAAAGAAAUCCAGUUGGCUAAUACCCGGUUGGGAUGACGGUACCCAAAGAAUAAGCACCGGCUAACUUCGUGCCAGCCGCCGCGGUAA